UCUGUUUAGUAACCAAGCCAGCUUCACUUUAAGUUUAAGAUAAACUAACGUUAGAUGCUGUUGUAAAGAAGCUUGGAGUCAAAAUAUAUUUUAAAGUUGUAUGAUUGCCUUCUUUUUUAAUAUGAUGUCUAUCCAUGUUUGUGUUUACAGAGGUCAUGUACCAUGUGGUCGACCUUGCUGACGCUGAAGAGGUUUCUGUGUAAAAAUGAUGACAUUGAGACAAACAGAACAGUUCCGGCUGCCGUGGAGGUCAACACACCACUGAUCUACUAGCUUCCCUUCAACGUGAUGGCCAGCCGAUGCCUGACCACCGACGGAACCCGGAACUUUUGCUACUUAUAUUUUCUGUCGAUUUUUCUAUGUUUCCCCUGCUUCUUUUAAUAUGCAGUGAGGGAGUGAUUCCCCAACAUCGAGGUGGCAGAGAUCCGGGCCCUUCCACAGAGGAAGUGCAACAAUGACAGUUACAAGGCCUCCAGUAGUUCAAAUAAGAGCUAGAUAAGCAUAUAGUACAAGUUGUUCGCAAUUGUUCUCUUCCCGGCAUUUCAAAGAAAGUCGACUGUUUAAGGUUCCCCAU